UAUGGUGCUUCUCCUGAGGUGUGGGUGAUGAGUGUCUGUUUGGGGUGAUAUCGGGGGCUUAGUGUCAUCCUGUGGUGGGUCACAGACAGGUGGCAAAGGCAACAGAAGCCUAGGGUUUAGGGCGAGUUGUUUUCCCCCAGACUUGGGAGAGCUGUCGGAGGGUGCAGAAUCUCCUCUUUGUGUGCUCAUCCCAUACCCCCUGAGGGCCCCCCAAUUUCUAGGAGGGACCUGAACAGAGCCAGAUGUGCUGAGCAGUCCUCCGGUGCCAAGAUAACUCAGCACACCCUGGAGAACAAGGAAGAAAAUGGAGAGCCGGAUGGACCCAAGGCAGGAACGGUCCUGCUCGGGGCAGAGGGCCUCAUGGCAUCAACCCGGAGAGGUCGGCAGUGAGGGAGAUGAGGAGGCACCGAAGGUGUUGCCCCCGACUACAAGGAGCCCGCAGCCGAGAGGGAAGGCAACCAGUGAAAUGACAGCCGGGGGUUUAGCUCAGUUGCGGGGGAUGUAGCUCAGUGGCGCCACUGCCUGCCUUGCGAACUCAAGGUGUGAGUUCGAUCCCUGGUACCAAAGAAAGAAAGAAAG
rnacentral:lncRNA from 1 species